rnacentral:tRNA from 1 species
GGUCGCCUAGCAUGGCCUAGGGCGCCGGACUCAUAAUCCGGUUUCCGCGGGUUCGAAUCCCGCCC